rfam:Cavia porcellus supercont2_123 genomic scaffold, whole genome shotgun sequence.
UGUAGUUCAGUAGUAGGGCACUUAUUUAGCAUGUAAGAGUCCCUGGGUUCAAUACCCAGCA